ACGGAUGAUGAAAUGUAAAGACGGAAAGAUGAAGAGCCCUAUGAGCGCUGACG
rnacentral:ncRNA from 16 species